GUCCCCGUGGCGGAAUUGGCAGACGCGUGUGGUUUAGGACCACAUCCUUAACAGGGUGCAGGUUCAAGUCCUGCCGGGGACACCG
rnacentral:tRNA from 1 species